UACGUAGGUGGCAAGCGUUGUCCGGAUUUACUGGGCGUAAAGAGCGCGCAGGCGGUCGUUCAAGUCGCGUGUGAAAGCCCCCGGCUCAACUGGGGAGGGUCACGCGAUACUGAUCGACUCGAAGGCAGGAGAGGGUAGUGGAAUUCCCGGUGUAGUGGUGAAAUGCGUAGAUAUCGGGAGGAACACCAGUGGCGAAGGCGAGUCCCUGGACAACACCUGACACUGAGGCACGAAAGCUAGGGGAGCAAACAGG
rnacentral:rRNA from 1 species